UUGGGGGUACCGCCUGCCCACUGAUUAUUUUAACGGCCGCAGUAUUUUGACUGUGCAAAGGUAGCAUAAUCACUUGUCCCCUAAUUGGGGGCUGGUAUGAAUGGAAUGACGUGGUGGGAGCUGUCUCAAUUAUAACUUGUAACUUAAUAUUUAAGUCAAAAAGCUUAAAUGCAAACGCAGGACGAGAAGACCCCAUAGAUCUUUAUAUAGCCAAUUCCGCCGCCCUUAGCCGCGCCCUAUGGUGUAAUAUUAAUAUAUUUAGUUGGGGUGACACGAAGUCUUAAACACUUAUUUCCCAAACGAAAGUUUAAGGUCCGAUGACCCGGCUCGCCGAUCAAAAAAUUAAGUUACCUUGGGGAUAACAGCGUAAUCUGUCCUUAGAGUUCUUAUCAAACGACAGGGUUGCGA
rnacentral:rRNA from 1 species